rnacentral:lncRNA from 1 species
ACRGUUUCUGCUCCAUUUUGACUGAAAGAUUAAAUGGAAGUAUGCAACUGAGCACUGGCUUUAAGACUCUUCAAAACAAAAGAGCUGGAGCCUGGAUGCAAUGGGCCAGCUGAGCAUACACUACUGUUCCUGGGGAGCUCUUCAAGGAAAAAAUGCUGACAGAGCCAAUUCCUGCACUAUUUGCUUCUCCGAGGGAUCCUUAAGCUGGUCGUUCUCAUUAAACAGCAAAGGACAAUUUUGCCUGAAGGAAACUUCCUCAGCAAUGAGCUUCUGCUCUGUCUGCUCACAAACUGGAGAGCAGCRAUGGGAUCUCCUGAAGCCGACAGCACUGACCGAGUAG